UAGGGAAUCUUCNGCAAUGGACGGAAGUCUGACCGAGCAACGCCGCGUGAGUGAAGAAGGUUUUCGGAUCGUAAAGCUCUGUUGUAAGAGAAGAACGAGUGUGAGAGUGGAAAGUUCACACUGUGACGGUAUCUUACCAGAAAGGGACGGCUAACUACGUGCCAGCAGCCGCGGUAAUACGUAGGUCCCGAGCGUUAUCCGGAUUUAUUGGGCGUAAAGCGAGCGCAGGCGGUUAGAUAAGUCUGAAGUUAAAGGCUGUGGCUUAACCAUAGUACGCUUUGGAAACUGUUUAACUUGAGUGCAAGAGGGGAGAGUGGAAUUCCAUGUGUAGCGGUGAAAUGCGUAGAUAUAUGGAGGAACACCGGUGGCGAAAGCGGCUCUCUGGCUUGUAACUGACGCUGAGGCUCGAAAGCGUGGGGAGCAAACAGGAUUAGAUACCCUGGUAGUCCACGCCGUAAACGAUGAGUGCUAGGUGUUAGACCCUUUCCGGGGUUUAGUGCCGUAGCUAACGCAUUAAGCACUCCGCCUGGGGAGUACGACCGCAAGGUUG
rnacentral:rRNA from 1 species